rnacentral:rRNA from 1 species
GGACCCGCACAAGCAGUGGAGCAUGUGGUUUAAUUCGACGCAACGCGAAGAACCUUACCAGCGUUUGACAUGAGAAGUGCCGGUUACAGAAUGGUAACCUUCAGUUCGGCUGGCUUCUACACAGGUGCUGCAUGGCUGUCGUCAGCUCGUGUCGUGAGAUGUUGGUUAAGUCCCGCAACGAGCGCAACCCUUAUCGUUAGUUACUAACAGUUCGGCUGAGGACUCUAGCGAAACUGCCGGUGAUAAGCCGGAGGAAGGUGGGGAUGACGUCAAGUCCUCAUGGCCCUUACACGCUGGGCUACACACGUGCUACAAUGGUAACUACAACGGGACGCAAUACCGCGAGGUGGAGCA